rnacentral:snoRNA from 1 species
CCCUGCAUUCGAAAGUGAUUGUGGGCUGCCUGUGCCCUGGUCAUUGAUAGUGCAGGGAGAGCAAUUUCUGAAAGCACUUCCCCGUGUUUGGAGGGCCCAUGCUGUCCCUUCCAAACCCUGGAGCUUUCGUACA